rnacentral:rRNA from 1 species
UGGGGAAUAUUGCACAAUGGGCGGAAGCCUGAUGCAGCGACGCCGCGUGAGGGAUGACGGCCUUAGGGUUGUAAACCUCUUCAGCACGGAAGAAGCGAGAGUGACGGUACGUGCAGAAGAAGCGCCGGCUAACUACGUGCCAGCAGCCGCGGUAAUACGUAGGGCGCAAGCGUUGUCCGGAAUUAUUGGGCGUAAAGAGCUCGUAGGCGGUUUGUCGCGUCUGCUGUGAAAGCCCGGGGCUUAACCCCGGGUGUGCAGUGGGUACGGGCAGACUUGAGUGCAGUAGGGGAGACUGGAAUUCCUGGUGUAGCGGUGAAAUGCGCAGAUAUCAGGAGGAACACCGAUGGCGAAGGCAGGUCUCUGGGCUGUUACUGGCGCUGAGGAGCGAAAGCAUGGGGAGCGAACAGGAUUAGAUACCC